CAAAGCAUAGCUUAACCCAAAGCAUCCGGCUUACACCCGGAAGAUUUCAUAUACAUUGACUGCUUUGA
rnacentral:tRNA from 1 species